AUAUAAAUCCCCUUUAUAUAUAUAUAUGUUAUUUAUAUGUGUGUGUGUAUACACACACACACACACACAUAUAAACACAAACACAUAUACAACAUUGUACAAGUUCUGCUACUCUUGAGAACCCUAAUAUAAACAUAAAUGUUGGGGGAGUUCUUGCAGUAUUAUGCAGCCGGUUUGGUUCUCGAGUGUUAGCACCUAGCUUUAAUCUGCCUUUUGUGACUGUUACCUUUUGUCUCCGGUACCUUCCUUUUGAAACAUGUGAAUCUUGUCUGAGUUUCCUAAGGGUUCAAAGCCCAUGCGGAACUUGGUAGGGAGGACUGGCAAACCGAGAUGUCUCCUACCAUGAAGCUGCAUUUGACAUUGUCUCUUAGGAGCUCUGAUAAGAGGUGUAAGGAAACUGACUUGUUAAAGUGUAAAUUGUGUAACAGUAAAAUGGCCCUUUGCUAAGCGAGAUUGAGUCAGUCUGCCGGAGGCUGAUCCCCCUGCAGCUAGAAAAGGCUAAAAAUCAUCCUUAGAGUGCCUCUGUGUCUUCUUUCUAUGGGCCUGUGUGAACCCACACCUGAUAUGAAAAAAUGAAAUACAAUUUUUAAAGUUUCUUUUUUAAAAAGCCAGAGUUAAAAAUGAGCUUCAUCUCACGGGAUAGGAUGUGUGUUACGGACAGAGAGAGAGCUGGGGCAAGCAAACCGCCCUUUCUGAUUCUCCUGUGACAGCCGUUCGGACGAUACAGCCAGGGCUGGGACUGGACCUCAUGCUGGAAACAGUCUGGGAGGGCUUCUGAUGUGGCCAGAUCAACCAAGAAGCCGGACUUGACUUUUAAAAGUUAAAUGUGGUGGUGCACGCCUUUAAUACCAGCACUUAGAGGCAGAGGCAGACGGAUCUCUGUGAGUUCGAGGCCAGCCUGGUCUAUAGAGCGAGCUUCAGGACAGCCAGGGCUGUUAAUAUAGAGAAAUGCUGUCUUGAAAAACAGUACACUUUGGCCUCUGCAUCAUGAGUAUGGUCUUCGAGUCUGAAUCUGCCUUCAGUGCAACAUGAUCAGCCCACUGCACCACACAAAGAUAAAAUGCAAGAGGUGUGGUGCUCUUAGGGCAGAAAAGCUCCUGGAGGGGAAAUCUCCUGAUGGAUAUCAUCAGGUACAGUCAGUCCUGCCUUGUUUUGGACUGGCAAGUAUCCUGCCUAAGAGAAAUAACGGAAUGGAACCAACCACCAUACCUGAAGAGUCAACCUACGCAUGACUUUUUGAUCUAAAGAUCACACUCUAUGGCCGUGAACAUUCAACACUUACAGAAACGUCUAAAUCAAUGCCCCCAAGAAAAACUGUCCACCUUUGAGAGACAUAGUAGACUUGAAAGUGGAGCCCCUCAUCGACAUUUCAAUGCUAAGUAGGAAUUGGUAUCAUAGAUCAGACAGAUCGUGCACUCAUGCCCACACACAGAUUCUGCCCCGAUGGAGCCCAUCAUAAAUAAGCUGCUGGCUUUAUGGAUCUGUAAGACGGUGACCGAAAGGACCAGUCUGUCACUGCUGGCCCAGGAGGAGGGUCCGGUGGAACAGUCAGCAUGGGUCAGCUCUGCUCCUGGCCUAGUGGAGUGGGUAGGGGUGGACCAGGGUCCCGUGUCAGCUGCAGGUGCUGAGCUGGAUCAGCGCCAGCUGCCAACCGGAGCGCCUCGGUUUGCCCUUGCUGCUGGGCAUGCAGAUGCUCCAGCGUCUCCUUGGAAAGUGUGAUUACGUGCACUGGCUCCGGCUGGGAGGACUCCAUCUGGCCUCCAAUCAUACUGAGGCUCUGAAUGUGCUCUGUCUGCUCCUGCUGAGCUGAAAGAAUCAGGCUCUGCAGUUGCUCAGGCUGCUGCGUGAGCAGGGCCAGAUUAGCAGCUGGGUCUGUGGCCAUGUUCUGAGAGGUGUCAGCAGCUACCAGGCUGACCCCCGGGUUGGGGCCUGGCAUGAAGUUAAUGUUAUGCACAGAAUCAGUUACAAGAAGCUGAAUCUCCUGCUCUCCCGAGGUGGAGAGCUGGUACGGUUGUAGCUGAAGAAUGUUGCGGACCUCCUCAGCAUUGCCUCCGGAAACGCUGCAGGAAUCUGCCGCGUGCUUCUCUUUGUUGUGAAUUUUCAAGUGAGCCUUCAAAUUGUCUAAGCGAGCAAACUGUAGGCUACACUCGGAGCAGGAGAAGGGCUUUUUGCCUGUGUGGAGGAUGCAGUGUCUCCUCUUGGCACUGGAGUCGGAGAAGGACUUGCCACAGAUGCUGCAGGAGUACGGCUUUUCUCCUCUGGAAGAAAGCACACAGAAACGCUCUUUCUCCUUCCGGGUACUUAGGCAGAAGCCAUGAAAAGUGUUUCCGCUUCAAGUCUCAGACACAGAAGGGCUGAAAGGGCUCACGGUACGGUGGACUGAGCUACGUGGGAUGAGACUUUAUGAUUCUGUUGUCAUGUGUUUCAGCCAUUAGGUUUCCAACACUGAGGUCUGUAGGACACUCAAGCUACGUUGAUGGAGUCUGACCCGGCUUCGGAUCUCUUCUGUAUAAACUACCUCCAUCCACCUGGGGACCACUCCUCUCGUUUAUUCCGUUCUGAAGCACUGACAGGCCACCAGCCACGUGAACUGCUGGGGAAGACGGCAACAAAACAGAUGUGACCACAGCUGCAGAAGGGGUGCGCAGUCUAUUUGAGGAGCUAGUCAAGCUAGUGCUUGACUGACGGCCGAAAUCAACAGUGCAUGAGGUACCGAGGCCUGGGCCAGGAGAUGCAGGAGACAGAUGGAGACAGAGGUUAACGGGGGAGGUGUCAGGGCCUGAGGAGCAGAGACCAGGAGGAAGUCUGUUACAGGAGGGCUAGACAGGAAUAAUGAAAGCCAGACACAUGCGGACGGCACAGGAAGGCGCAGGCAGAGCUGACUUAGUUCCAGAGGGUCCAUCCAUGACGUCGGCCUGGUUGUCCCCCUUUUAAAAUCUGGAGUAUUAACAGUUUGUCCUACGAGCAGUGA